rnacentral:lncRNA from 1 species
GUUAAUUUUAAGAUGGCUGCUCUUUUUUAAAAAUAAUAAAUCUCAUGAUGUUUAAGUAUCCUGAGAUUCCUAGCAAAAUUAAGUAAAAAGUGCAGAGUUUCCACGGUCAUGGCGGUACAUGACUUUAAUCUCACUACUUAGGAAACAAAGGCAAAAGGAUCCCUGUGAGUUCAAGGCUAGCCUCGUUGACACAGCAAGGUCUGGGACAGCAAAGACUACAUAAAGAGGCCCUGUUUCAAAAAUUAAAAUAAACUUUUAAUAAAAGAAAGAAAUAUGCAUAGUAUCUGUGGGACAAAAAAUGGGGUUCCAUGUCUGCUCAGGGCUAGGAUCACUGGGCAAUGCUGGACAAGGGAAGUCUGACUGCACUGUGGACCCCACAGAACCACCAGGCAGGCAUUAGACUGUAAGAAGCCACGGGAUCCCACUCCGGGGGUGAGGAAAGGAUAUAGUCUGGGGUUCCUGCGGAACUGCUGGAGGAGUUGGGCUCUGACUCUCAGGCACCACAGACCCUGCUGAGCACCACAGGAGAGCCAGUUGUGGGGUCCCUGGGCUGCACGGAGGCCAGGCACAUCAGGUUCUCACUCUUGGAUAUUCCAGACUCCACUGUAAGUCGCAGAAGAGCUAAGAACAAAGUAGGGACCCUUGGGCAGACUCUGGCCCAGGGGCUGAAAAGGGUAGGAGGAGAGCUCUGGAGGCAGGUUAUUGUCGGGAGGAGUGAGUCUGGCUAGCUCAGGCGGCUUGCUUGGCAGGCAGGUUGGUUUGGCUGGUGGCUGUGGCUGGAGUGCAGGGAGGUCUCCUGGCAGGAGGUUGGAUGCUUGGCUUUCUAGAGGGAAACCUGCUCCAUUGCUCCAGCAUGGAGGGUACCAAUGAGAAGACCCAGUCCAGUCCAUGGUUUUAAGGCAUUUAUUGUAGAAAGGCAGAGAGAGGGAGAAGUGUAGAGAAGUAGAGGCCGGCCAUGGCCACAUGGAGAAAGGAAGGGAAUGGGGAGAGGGGGAGCAAAAGGGCAAGAGAGAAGCACGAGAGUAAGAGAGCAAGAACAUGAUGAAGGGGCAAGCAGCUUCUUUUAUAGUGGGCUGGGCUACCUUGCUGUUGCGAGGUAACUGUGGGGGUGGAGUUCAGACAGCCCAUGUCACUGAUGGCCACAGAAUUAUGGAGUUGGGGCCUCGUGUCAGGAGCCUAGUGUCUGGGAGCAUGGCCUUCUGUCCCUUGAAGAUUAAUCUGCUGGGUCUAUAGGGUUUAAAACUAGCUCGUUCAGAAAAUAGGAUGCCUUUCAUGGUCCCAAAAGUAUCUAUACACCCUACCCCCACACAGAGACAACCACCUGCCCUGCCUCCAUCUGCCAAAACAGUAGAACAUGUGUGCAAUUGAUGAAACUAUUUUGACACAUGGCUCGGUAUAGAGUUUACAUGAGGAUUCAUUCUUGGCUUGCACCUUUAAAAGUGAUUCACUAAGUCCAAUUAGUGCUGUGCCUGUGUUCGUGUCAUACACUUGGGCACAGGCAACCUACCAAUGCCCUUCCCCAAAGGAAAAUGACUCUUUCUCCCUUCAGCAGCCGUCAGUCACCAUUAGUCCCUCACCUAAGGGAGGGCCAGCAGGAUCUCCUCCCACCUCCGAGAUGUAGUAGUUAACAAUCUCAAUUGUUAUGGAGGUCUUUAAUGAGAAACCACUGCUGUUGAGAGUUCCUAUGUGUGAUAACCAUGUCAUGUAGAGAACAGCCUUUUAUAACAACCCUCCCCUUCAUUUGGCCUUUAUAUUAUUCCUGCCCCCUCUUCUACAAUGUCUCCUGAGCCUGGGAUUGGGGAGAGGUGGGGGUUGAUGUAGAGGUGUCACCCACAGCUAAACACUCACCAUUGGUUAUUUUCAAUAUUUUGAAUAGUGUUAAGUCCUUAUAUUAAGCACUAUCCAGUACAAUAAGAAGCUUCGCCAACCAAGGUUGGGAGCAGCACAAAUCUAUGGCUAAAAAUAAAUAUUUAGAAGGUAGUUUGGCAAUAUGGCCAUUUAGUAAAACAACAUCAGUAGGUUUUCUUCUAGACCCUAUGGCUUUCCUAGCCAAAGUUGCACCAGGCAUGAAUUUCCUCCUGAGAAGCAGACAUCAAAGAGAGCCAUUGGUUACCCAUGAAUAGUCUUUUUUUUUUUUUUUUCCAUUUUUUAUUAGGUAUUUAACUCAUUUACAUUUCCAAUGCUAUACCAAAAGUCUUGACACUAUAGCAAAUGGACUGUUCGUUUCCAGGUUUUGAAUGUCUGGUUUUACUGACAGGCAGAUAAGCCUUUCUGGAUCUCUAUACAAGUGGCCCAAGAGAGUACCAGUGCUCACAAAGUUGCCUUCAUGCUAUUUCUAGUUGGGCGAGCCCUCAUCUCACCUAUAGAUGAACCAGUGAGGACAUCUUGUAUGACAGAUCAUUAUGACAGUAUGCAUAAUUCAGUUCUAGGUAAAAUUAGUGAUGUCUUUUCUCCCCUAUGCAACUUACAUAGCACCUUCUGGCACUGCGAAAGCUAGCCAGCAGGGAGAGAGUCUCUUAGUCAGUUCAUGAUUAGUUUCUCUGUGCCCUAUAACUGAUUAUAUCUUCACUAAUAGUGUCUUACCACCUACUCAUGGUGUACAACUAUGAGCAACGUGUUUUUUCUGAAUGAACAGUAAUGACCUAUGCCAGGAACAUUAUCUUGCAGAGGAAGAAUACCAACAGCCAGGUGUGCCCUACAAUGAACUAUGCGAACUGUAGAUUAUAUCAGAUGAAAAUAGGUUCAUUUAAAAGGAAGACAAAAUUUGUCUUGAAGUUCCAUGACCUUACGUUCCUCUGAAUCUUGCUACCUAACUUAAACUUAAGGUUUGCUUUUUAAAAAGUUACUUUAUUAUCUGAGGAUUAUAUCCAUGGGUAUUGUAUUUACAUCAUUUCCUACCCACACUCUUCCUCUUAAAACUUCUCUCUGAAAUCCAUCACUUCUACUUCCACAUGUGUGGUUGUGUGUCUCUCUGUGUGUGUGUCUGUGUGUGUGUGUGUGUGUGUACUAGUACAAUUCUCAAGUGCACAGGAUUAAUCUUAAAGCGCUAAAAAUUCCAUGUUCUGCUUAUUUUCCCAUUUAUUCUUCAUUUAUUUAUUCAUUUAUAAAUAUUCUUGAGUGCCUGCUACAUGACAGAAUCAUUCUAGUGCCUGAAAAACUUCAGUACAAUAACCUUGGCUUCAUGAAGACUGUUUUACUGGGGAAAAUGCAUGAAAUAAAUAUACAAAUGAGAAAUAAGUUGCUCUGGUUGGUUUUUUAUCAACUUGACACAUGCUAGAGUUAUCUGAAAAGAUAGAACCUCAAAUGAAAAAAAUGACUACAUAAGAUCCAGGUGUAGGGCAUUUUCUGAUAUUAGUGAUUGAUAGGGGAGGACUUGUGGGUGGUACCAUUCCUAGGAUGAUAAGCUUGGGUUCUGUAAGAAAGCAGGCUGAGCAAGCCAUGGGAAGCAAGCCAGAAAAGAGCAUCCUCCAUGGUCUCUGCCUCCAGGUUCCUGCUCAGUUUGAGCUCUUGUCCUGAUUUCUUUCAAUGAUAGAAAUAUAGAAAUGUAAUAAAUGCAAUAUAGAAAUGUAAGCCAAAUAAACCAAGUUGUUUUUGGUUAUGGUGUUCCAUUACAACAAUACAAACCUUAACUAAGACAUAAGUGCAGUAGGGAAGUUGUUAGAAUGUAACAAGUGCUUUGAG